rnacentral:rRNA from 1 species
AACAGGCUAAUUUGCGCAAGAGUGUACAAAAUGAGUGCGCGGUUUGGCACCUCGAUGUCGGCUUGACUAAUCCUCAUGGAUGCAGAAACUAUGUAGGGUACGACUGUUCGUCGAUUAAAAAGUUACAUGAGCUGGGUUAAAUAGCUCGUGAGACAGUAUGGUUUCUAUCUUCUAGAGGGAAUUAGAAUAUAAUAAGGAUUAACCUUUGUACGAAAGGAACAUGGGGUACUAUUGUUAUACCUAGUUGUAUAACAGUUUUAUUAACCUCUGGUUUACCUGUUGUUUAUGUACCUUAUAUUAAUUUCAUGUGUGAUGCUCCGCAAGGAUAUUACAGGGAUGUUACCGUCACUUGAGUAAAUACAAUAGCAUAAGCAUGGCACCAAAGCUAAGUUAGUCAAAAAUAAGUGCUGAAAGCAUAUAGGCACGAAAUUUACCUUAAGAUAUUUCUUAAAUAUACGUAAGAAAAUAUUACGUUAAUAGGCUUAGUUUGUAAUAAUCUAGAGAUUUUAAGGAACUAAGUACUAAUUUUAUAAAAAACUGAAUGAUUAAUAUAUCUUACAUUUUC